GCACCUGACAAGAACGAGGUCCGAUUGUUCAACUAUACGGGAUCAGAAACCGGAAUCCCCAUAUGUUUCUUCAAAAUCAACAGAACUGAUUGUAUAAGACUGAGCGCUCACACCCUGGCAGGAAGGCAGGUAGAUCAAUGCAAAGGCGGGAUCACUGGAGUCCAUCUACAUCUACCUGUGGGUAUAGAGACCACUGGUGUAGUGCCUCAGACUUUUAAUGCUCCAAUGGGACUGUUCCAUAGAAGAGAUGUGUGGCACAUGCCCCUGUGAGAUAUAAUAUUACUGGAUUUGAUACUUACGUUUUGGACUGGUCUGAAAAUUCUUGUCACCCCCGAAAGAAAUGUCACUGCAUAUGUCAUGGGCUCUUAGGUGCUGUUCGACAAGUGACGCCUGGCUCUGUCAGGAACCUCUUCACUCCUCUCAGCAACCCUCGGAGACAGCUACUAACUCAGCCACAUUUUCCUGUUUGGAAAACAGCAGAGAGGUGGGCAGCAGAAGGUCCGGUUUACAGCGGACUUCGAACACGAGCGAGGAGUGGAAGUCACCUUGCUCCUGCCACGUGGCAGCCUGGGAGGGGCCUGGGGUGCAGACAUCAGGAGCCCAGAGCACCGCCCUCGGGGCUGACGAUGCAGAGCAGCCCUGGGGAGAGGUGUGGGAGGCUGCCUGUGGAAUGUCCCCUGUAAGGGCCACGGCCCAAGCCAGGAGGUGGGUGAUGGGCAGGCAGUUCCUUGAGGUGCCCAGCCCUUGUUUAGGCUCUCAGCCACCCAGAUGUGAUCUGUUUCGACUGGCAGAGGAAUGGAAAGGAAGGUGGUGGGCCUUUGAUGUCAAAGUGAUAGGCACUAGAAGGCCAGGUGUGCUGGUGCAUGCCUGUCAUCCCAGCACUCGGGAGGCUGAGGCAGGAGGAUUGCCACAAGCUGGAGGCCAGCCUGGACUGCAUAGCAAGACCCUGCCUCAAAAAAACCCAAACCACCACAAAAGACAACUGUGA
rnacentral:lncRNA from 1 species